UGGCGGACGGGUGAGUAAUGCCUAGGAAUCUGCCUGGUAGUGGGGGAUAACGUUCGGAAACGAACGCUAAUACCGCAUACGUCCUACGGGAGAAAGCAGGGGACCUUCGGGCCUUGCGCUAUCAGAUGAGCCUAGGUCGGAUUAGCUAGUUGGUGAGGUAAUGGCUCACCAAGGCGACGAUCCGUAACUGGUCUGAGAGGAUGAUCAGUCACACUGGAACUGAGACACGGUCCAGACUCCUACGGGAGGCAGCAGUGGGGAAUAUUGGACAAUGGGCGAAAGCCUGAUCCAGCCAUGCCGCGUGUGUGAAGAAGGUCUUCGGAUUGUAAAGCACUUUAAGUUGGGAGGAAGGGCAUUAACCUAAUACGUUAGUGUUUUGACGUUACCGACAGAAUAAGCACCGGCUAACUCUGUGCCAGCAGCCGCGGUAAU
rnacentral:rRNA from 1 species